AGAGCGAACGCUGGCGGCAGGCCUAAUACAUGCAAGUCGAACGGAUCCUUCGGGAUUAGUGGCGGACGGGUGAGUAACACGUGGGAACGUGCCCUUUGGUUCGGAACAACUCAGGGAAACUUGAGCUAAUACCGGAUGUGCCCUUCGGGGGAAAGAUUUAUCGCCAUUGGAGCGGCCCGCGUCUGAUUAGCUAGUUGGUGGGGUAAAGGCCCACCAAGGCGACGAUCAGUAGCUGGUCUGAGAGGAUGAUCAGCCACACUGGGACUGAGACACGGCCCAGACUCCUACGGGAGGCAGCAGUAGGGAAUCUUGCGCAAUGGGCGAAAGCCUGACGCAGCCAUGCCGCGUGAAUGAUGAAGGUCUUAGGAUUGUAAAAUUCUUUCAGCGGGGACGAUAAUGACGGUACCCGCAGAAGAACGCCCGGCUAACUUCGCGCCAGCAGCCGC
rnacentral:rRNA from 1 species